GAUGAACGCUGGCGGCGUGCCUAAUACAUGCAAGUCGAGCGAACGGACGAGAAGCUUGCUUCUCUGAUGUUAGCGGCGGACGGGUGAGUAACACGUGGAUAACCUACCUAUAAGACUGGGAUAACUUCGAGAAACCGGAGCUAAUACCGGAUCAUAUUUUGAACCGCAUGGUUCAAAAGUGAAAGACGGUCUUGCUGUCACUUAUAGAUGGAUCCGCGCUGCAUUAGCUAGUUGGUAAGGUAACGGCUUACCAAGGCAACGAUGCAUAGCCGACCUGAGAGGGUGAUCGGCCACACUGGAACUGAGACACGGUCCAGACUCCUACGGGAGGCAGCAGUGGGGAAUAUUGGGCAAUGGGCGAAAGCCUGACGGAGCCACACCGCGUGAGUGAUGAAGGUCUUCGGAUCGUAAAGCUCUGUUAUUGGGAAAGAAAAGAUGUAGAUGAAUCUGUCGAUGUUUUGACGGUACCUAAUGAAAAAGCCCCGGCUAACUUCGUG
rnacentral:rRNA from 1 species